rnacentral:rRNA from 1 species
AGAGUUUGAUCAUGGCUCAGAUUGAACGCUGGCGGCAGGCUUAACACAUGCAAGUCGAGCGGAGAUGAGGUGCUUGCACCUUAUCUUAGCGGCGGACGGGUGAGUAAUGCUUAGGAAUCUGCCUAUUAGUGGGGGACAACAUUCCGAAAGGAAUGCUAAUACCGCAUACGUCCUACGGGAGAAAGCAGGGGAUCUUCGGACCUUGCGCUAAUAGAUGAGCCUAAGUCGGAUUAGCUAGUUGGUGGGGUAAAGGCCUACCAAGGCGACGAUCUGUAGCGGGUCUGAGAGGAUGAUCCGCCACACUGGGACUGAGACACGGCCCAGACUCCUACGGGAGGCAGCAGUGGGGAAUAUUGGACAAUGGGGGGAACCCUGAUCCAGCCAUGCCGCGUGUGUGAAGAAGGCCUUAUGGUUGUAAAGCACUUUAAGCGAGGAGGAGGCUACUGAGACUAAUACUCUUGGAUAGUGGACGUUACUCGCAGAAUAAGCACCGGCUAACUCUGUGCCAGCAGCCGCGGUAAUACAGAGGGUGCGAGCGUUAAUCGGAUUUACUGGGCGUAAAGCGUGCGUAGGCGGCUUUUUAAGUCGGAUGUGAAAUCCCCGAGCUUAACUUGGGAAUUGCAUUCGAUACUGGGAAGCUAGAGUAUGGGAGAGGAUGGUAGAAUUCCAGGUGUAGCGGUGAAAUGCGUAGAGAUCUGGAGGAAUACCGAUGGCGAAGGCAGCCAUCUGGCCUAAUACUGACGCUGAGGUACGAAAGCAUGGGGAGCAAACAGGAUUAGAUACCCUGGUAGUCCAUGCCGUAAACGAUGUCUACUAGCCGUUGGGGCCUUUGAGGCUUUAGUGGCGCAGCUAACGCGAUAAGUAGACCG